rnacentral:rRNA from 1 species
AGGACGAACGCUGGCGGCGUGCUUAACACAUGCAAGUCGAACGCUGAAGCUUGGUGCUUGCACUGGGUGGAUGAGUGGCGAACGGGUGAGUAAUACGUGAGUAACCUGCCCUUGACUCUGGGAUAAGCCUGGGAAACUGGGUCUAAUACUGGAUAUGACCUCCUGUCGCAUGGUGGGGGGUGGAAAGGGUUUGUACUGGUUGUGGAUGGGCUCACGGCCUAUCAGCUUGUUGGUGGGGUAAUGGCCUACCAAGGCGACGACGGGUAGCCGGCCUGAGAGGGUGACCGGCCACACUGGGACUGAGACACGGCCCAGACUCCUACGGGAGGCAGCAGUGGGGAAUAUUGCACAAUGGGCGCAAGCCUGAUGCAGCGACGCCGCGUGAGGGAUGACGGCCUUCGGGUUGUAAACCUCUUUCAGCACGGAAGAAGCGAAAGUGACGGUACGUGCAGAAGAAGCGCCGGCUAACUACGUGCCAGCAGCCGCGGUAAUACGUAGGGCGCAAGCGUUGUCCGGAAUUAUUGGGCGUAAAGAGCUCGUAGGCGGUUUGUCGCGUCUGCUGUGAAAGCCCGGGGCUUAACCCCGGGUGUGCAGUGGGUACGGGCAGACUUGAGUGCAGUAGGGGAGACUGGAACUCCUGGUGUAGCGGUGAAAUGCGCAGAUAUCAGGAAGAACACCGAUGGCGAAGGCAGGUCUCUGGGCUGUUACUGACGCUGAGGAGCGAAAGCAUGGGGAGCGAACAGGAUUAGAUACCCUGGUAGUCCAUGCCG